rnacentral:lncRNA from 1 species
GGUAUGUCCUUGAUCCGAUAUUUCUAAUAAGAUGUAUUCAUUAUGUAUUUUCGUUUGUUCUAAUACUUGAUUAAGAAUCAAUUCAUCUCUUGCCUGCCCAACCACCCUCGUGGGAGAAAAUAUUGUAAAAUUCACUUUCUUUUCGAAAUCAUAAUCUUUUUGGAAAGCCCUGCCUCAUUUUCAAAAUCAUACUUUACCCUGCCUCAUUUUUUAUCCCUUGUUACCCUUCUUGAAAUUUUCCUCAUUCAUUUUCCUGGUUAUGAAUUCUUCCCAAAUCUUUUAAACUUUUAUUUCUUCAAAAUUUUUCUUCUAGUUAACCAAUUAUUGGAUCAUACUAUCUGUAUCUUAGUGAUAUUUAUUGGCUAGAAUUAUGCUUAUCUGUAUUCUUACAUAUCUUCAUCAAUUAUUUGGGGAGAUGGAAUUGAUUUCUAUCUUGGUAACCUAUGUUGUACCUUUUUGUUUUAAGUAGUAUCCAGCAUAAAAUUUCAGUGCUUGAUUGCUGAGAGGAAUUUGCUAUCUUUGCAUGACAAUUUGAAAUUUAAAUUUAACUUUUCUAUGCUUAAUUUGACACUAACUUGACGUUUCUGAUCUUUGCAGUCAUUCGUGCUCUUCUGGACGUAUCCUAAUCUGUUGUAGUCUUUCAACAAAUAGAUUUAUGAAUUAUUGUAUUCCCUCUUUAAUAAAACUAUCUGAAGGUAUUCGGCUUAUCAUCUCUGCCCCAACAUGUAUGUCUUUUGCCAAUAUUCUCAAGUUUUACUCCAAGUAACAAGAUAGGGUGUAUAGAUGACCAUGCAGAUGUUAUCAGGUUAUAGUUGGGAACAUGUUAUCCUCUACCUCACCUGCUCUGCCCUAGGAAAUAACCAUAUUUUGUCUUUUACCUUUGCUUCAUGGACAAAUUUAGUUGAGAAAACCUCUGCCCUAGGAAAUAACCAUAUUUUGUCGUAUACCUUUGCCUCAUGGAAAAAUUGCUUUGGACAAAUUUAGUUGAGAAAAGAAUUGUGGGAAACAAAAUAUAACUGGAUAUUUUGUUAACAUUUAUAGUGCUCUAAAAUUGUUUUCCGUAGAAAAUUAUAUCCUAACCAACCAAGUUGGAAAAAAAGGAGACGCCGUAGCGGUGCCAAUAUUUUCAUUGCAUUUCUUGUGUGGUUUCUAUGUAUCUUUACCAUAUUGUCCCUGCAUCGUGUUGUAUUGUAUAUGCAUUCCUGUAAUUCCUUGACAUGCAAAAGAUUCGCAUAUGACAUCAUGCAUAUAUUCUGAGGAUUCCUUCCCGUGCGAGAUGAGGACCUUUGCUAUCCCAAAAAGAUGCUAAGACAUUUUCAAGUUCAAAGUGGUGGGUGUUCAAAGUUUGCACUCAUGAUAUUUUCGUUCUAUUAAGCUUGGAAGAAAGUUUUUACAAUUGGGAGUAGCUGAACAUUCCAUAUCACUAUUGAAUGAUAUAGAGGGUUGGUAAUCUUUGUGAAAUCUAAUUGUUCAGGUUCAACAAUUGAGCCUUGUAUUGUUUUUAAUCAACACUACUAUGGUUAUACUUUUGAUUAUAGAUUGGCUUCUCGAAAGGUAAAAAAUACAGGUUUUGAUUGGAUUCAGCAAUCAUCUGGUUUGUUCUUACUUUCCGAUGUCAAUUAGUUUUUGUAUUGUACAAAAAGGAUUGCAAUUUCUUAAUGCAUGAUUGAAUUGAGAUGCA